ensembl:lncRNA
AUUGCAGCUUUUGCUGUUUACUUUUAGGCAACUAUAUACAGUAUUUGGUGUGUUUUCUCCCACAUUUACGACUCUGUUGAUUUUUGUUUUAACAACAAACAAAUAAAAAUUAAUAAACAUUUUUAAAUGAUUUCUUUAGACUCAUGAUGGGGACAUCCGUGCAGAUGCUUCCUGUUGCCGCAGAGAAGCAUCAGAGCAGAAAAGAGGAAGGAUGUGAAGGCUCCAGAAGAAUUACACAUCAGUGUUUGGUACAAGAGAACCACUCAAACCAUGACUGUAUCAGAUUCUUAUGAGGGGUUUGUCAGAAAUACGCUGCUGUUGAUGGUGGUGAUGUUAAUAAUACCAAUUUCUUACAAUCAAACGGAAAAUAAUCUGCUCAGAUCCCUCCU